AUUGAACGCUGGCGGAAUGCUUUACACAUGCAAGUCGAACGGCAGCACGGGUGCUUGCGCCUGGUGGCGAGUGGCGAACGGGUGAGUAAUACAUCGGAACGUACCCAGUCGUGGGGGAUAACGUAGCGAAAGUUACGCUAAUACCGCAUACGUCCUGAGGGAGAAAGCGGGGGACCGUAAGGCCUCGCGCGAUUGGAGCGGCCGAUGGCGGAUUAGCUAGUUGGUGGGGUAAAGGCCUACCAAGGCGACGAUCCGUAGCGGGUCUGAGAGGACGGCCCGCCACACUGGAGCUGAGACGCGGUCCAGACUCCUACGGGAGGCAGCAGUGGGGAAUUUUGGACAAUGGGCGAAAGCCUGAUCCAGCCAUUCCGCGUGAGUGAAGAAGGCCUUCGGGUUGUAAAGCUCUUUCGGCAGGGAAGAAACGGCUUGGGAUAAUACCCCGGGCUAAUGACGGUACCUGAAGAAGAAGCACCGGCUAACUACGUGCCAGCAGCCGCCGUAA
rnacentral:rRNA from 1 species